rnacentral:misc_RNA from 1 species
UCGUAUAAUAGCGGUUUAACACAAAAUUACGUUACAACUCCUCAAUUAACAUUCUUGGCUCAGACAAAAACGGUUUGGUUGAACAUAUAAUUAUUCCCAAAAAUAAAAGUUCUGAUUACCAAAGAAGUUACAAGAACAUCACCUUCUCAAUGGCCAAAUUAAUCCACACUUAGACAAACAUGAUCCAAGCAUCUUAACUCCACAGCGCAAGCCAUCAUUUGCUGUUCAGUUUUCUCAUUCUCGUUUUACUUCUUUCAUUGGAUAUCAUCAUUGAGGUUGGGGACAUAUAGUCUUCCUGCAGAAAGUUCCCAACUACAAACAAUUUCUUAGAUUUGAAAUAAAUUGAUUCUUUUUCCAUCAAUAACUUGCUUCUUCUGUUUCAAACAUGCUGUUAUGUUUCCAGCCUCAUCUUUGGGCAUAAAACCAAUAUGUUUCCAGCCUCAUCUUUAAGCAUAUAACCAAUUUCAGACUUUCCAUCACAUACAGCUUGGAUACAUUUUGUGCACCAACUCCAUUGCUGGCUUGAGGUAAAAAAUAUGGAAUUAAUCCCUCUUAGUGCAACACAUAAAGAUGCUAGCGGGUGGCCAAAUAGCUAGCUAAAAAUCCACAUUGUGAUAUAUCUUUCUUCCAAUGUUUGGAUGGCUUGUUCUGAAAGCAUGUAACAAUUCUAUCCCAAUAAAAGCAAAACCCAGCAAAACCCUUCUACGGCCUGUUUGGCACUGCAGGGCGCACAAACCCAAAAUGCAGCUGGGGCAAGCAAGCACCUUCUUUCCCCAGCUACAUUUUGGGACCUAUGAGUUUGUGCAUCCAGACCCCCCCACAGCACCAAAAUCUCAAUGAAGACCACUGUUGAAAUAACUACACAUUGAAGGGUUCCCAAGAUGCAAAAGGC